UUUGUGGAGAGUUUGAUCCUGGCUCAGGACGAACGCUGGCGGCGUGCUUAACACAUGCAAGUCGAACGGAAAGGCCCC
rnacentral:rRNA from 1 species